AUUGAACGCUGGCGGCAGGCCUAACACAUGCAAGUCGAACGAGUGGCGGACGGGUGAGUAAUGUCUGGGAAACUGCCCGAUGGAGGGGGAUAACUACUGGAAACGGUAGCUAAUACCGCAUACUAUCGGAUGUGCCCAGAUGGGAUUAGAUAGUAUGUGGGGUAACGGCUCACCUAGGCGACGAUCCCUAGCUGGUCUGAGAGGAUGACCAGCAACACUGGAACGGAGACACGGGCCAGAUCCCGACGGGAGGCAGCAGUGGGGAAUAUUGCACAAUGGGCGCAAGCCUGAGGCAGCCAUGCCGCGUGUAUGAAGAAGGCCUGCGGGUUGUAAAGGACUUUCAGCGAGGAGGCGUUACUCGCAGAAGAAGCACCGGCUAACUCCGUGCCAGCCGCCGCGGUAAUAC
rnacentral:rRNA from 1 species